rnacentral:rRNA from 1 species
ACCCGCUGAACUUAAGCAUAUCAGUAAGCGGAGGAAAAGAAAACAACAGUGAUUCCCUCAGUAACGGCGAGUGAAGCGGGAAUAGCCCAACGUUGAAUCGCUUACAAAGGUGUUGCUGUCACCCCUCACCGGAUGGCAGCAUUCACUGCGAGCUUCUCGCGAGCGAGUUGUGACGUAAGGACGCGUCGCAUCGAGGCCGUGCGUGUCACCAAAGUUUUCCUGGAAAGGAGCGCCAGAGAGGGUGAUAGCCCCGUGUGUGGUGACAUGAGUGAUGUGUGAGUGCGGUCUCGCUUGUGUGUGAAAGCAUGCAAGUGUGGCGGUGUGUUCCAUGAGUCGGGUUGUUUGGGAUUGCAGCCCAAAGAGGGUGGUAGACUCCACCCAAGACUAAAUACUGGCACAAAACCGAUAGCGAACAAGUACCGUGAGGGAAAGUUGAAAAGCAUUCCGAAAGGAAGGUUAAACAGGACGUGAAACCGUUAAAGGGGAAGCGGAUGGAUGGGUCGAAUUGCUGCCAUCCCCCUGGAUCAGCGUGUUGCGUGUGUGUGUGCACAUGUGAUGCGUGUGGCCAGUGCCACGCAAGUGGUGCUGGUCAAUGCAGUGGUGCGUGGAGGAGCCGAAACAGUCGUUGUGAGUACGGCCAGGGCAGGUUGGGCAGCUGUUCUGUGGCAUCCACCGUUUAGCUUGCCCCCGUGGUGAGUGUUAAUGCGUGGGUCAUGCUGUGGAGCGGCUGUUACCUGUAGGUGCACGCUUCAAUGCGUGCACAUAUUCGUGCGUGAUGCCUAUGGCUCGCUAGAAUGCUCUACUGUCGUGGUAGGGCCGAGCAGUGACCGCAAUUGGGUGACCUGGUGUUAAGCGUGCGACUCGUGCGUACGUGUACUUAAAAGUUUCGUUUGCGAUGACUGAGAAAUUGCGCCGUUGAGGCGAUGCUGUGUGCUCCCGUACACGUUUGUGCGUGUGCAAAGAGAGUGGAGCGAUAUGCGUGCAAUGUGAGUUACAUCCCCUGGAAGUGGCAUGCUGUGCUGGCGUGCAAGCGUUCAGUGUGGUAUGCCAGCAUCUGGUUGUGUUAGUGCGAUGUGUUGUCGCGCCCGGAUGUGUGAUGGUGGCGAUACCUCGGUCGUGCGGGGCAGCGCCAGUGUGGCGUUUGGCCGUGCAAACGGUCAGACGCUGUGCCGGUGUUGCUGCGACCGUGGGUGAGACCUCCGGCUGGUGGUGUCGUGUGGUUGCAAGACUGUGCGACUCUCCGCGCACAUGUAACAGUGUGCGUUCAUCAGCUUCUAGCUGUGGGAACGGCCCGUAACAGGGCCGGCCUGCGAUUUGUCACUCUUCCAGAGAUCAUUGAGAGCCAUGAGUAAUAUCUGACUUUGUGUGUGCGUCUCGUGCGUACACACGUGGCAUCACGCUUGCGUGUUUAAAAUAGCCAGGAUGUAAAUGUGCGUCAAGACACAGCUAAUUUUCGGCGAGACACCAAUCCAUCCGACCCGUCUUGAAACACGGACCAAGGAGCCUAUCAUGUGCGCGAGUCAAAGGGUGAUUGAAACCCAGAGCAGUGCAACAUAGCACUCGCGUCACCAGCGUUGUUCACACUCUGCUGGUGACGUGCAUGUUGAAACACAAGCGAUAAGGCGUAAUGAAAGUGACCACCAAUUGUGGUGAUGAGAUGGGAUCUGGCCGUGAGACGCGUGUGUGUCUCUGCCUGUGGCAACAUAGGCGGGGCCACACACUGCUGGCUCUCCGGUCGGCGCACCAUCAGCCGGUUCGCACGUAGGUGCGGGCUGAGCGAGAGCGUACAUGCUAGAACCCGAAAGAUGGUGAACUAUUCCUGGGUAGGGCGAAGCCGGAGGAAACUCCGGUGGAGGCUCGCAGCGAUUCUGACGUGCAAAUCGAUCGUCAAACCUGGGUAUAGGGGCGAAAGACUAAUCGAACCACCUAGUAGCUGGUUCCUUCCGAAAUAUCCCUCAGGAUCGCUGAGACCUGUGCAAAAACAUUCAUUGUGGUGCAUGUGAGGGGACCGUCAUGUGCGUGUCCUCGAUAUCAUGUGUGAGAAUGUGGUAGUUUCAUCGGGUAGAGCUAAUGAUUAGAGUGAUUUGGGAGCUACUGCUCCUGGAACUAUUCUCAAACUGCCAACCGGUGAUAACUGCUGGUGAUUUCUUGUAUGUUCUUUGUCAGUGACUGUGUGUGCGUCCCCGACGCACCACGGUGGUACGGGUCGAUGUGCGCAACGCAAGUUGCGUGUGUCGGCCCGGCUGGCGAAGAGUGGCUUCUACUGGCCAGUGAGACAGCAGCAUUGCUGUGUCACGUGUGCGUUGGCCAGUGUGCCGUGUGCGUGUGUGUCUGUGCGUGUGCCGGCCAGGGCAUCACCCGGUGUCUUGGUCGGUGUGUGUGCAGGUGUGUGCCGUAUGGUGUGCUGAUCUUCUGUGUGCGUGGUGUGGCUUUGUUGCCAGUCGGUGGUGCACAAGUCAGGAGGUGCGAUGAAAGCUUGCGAGGGUGUGUAAACUGUGUGUGGUCCUCACAGCUAGGACUUGGUGCCACCGCGCUCGCUGGUAGCGUACGGAGCUGCGCGCAUUGAUGGAUGCGAGCAUGAGAUGAAUCACCGGCCUUGCCGACGCAGCAGUGGUCAUACACUGUGUGUAGUGCGUCGGCACUGCGUUAGCACGCAGAAAGUGAAUACCAGGGUCUCAAGUGGGCCGUUUCUGGUAAGCAGAACUGGCGAUGCGGGAUGAACCGAAAGCGGAGUUAAGGUGCCCAAAAAACGCUCAUGGAAACCAUGAAGGGUGUUCAUCGGUAGAGAUAGCAAGGCUGUGGGCAUGGAAGUCGUCAUCAGCUAAGAAGCGUGUCGCAACGUACUUGUUGACCACCGGUGUGCCCCGAAAAUGGAUGGCGCUAAGCGUUUUACCGAUACUCUGCCGUCGAUGUGAGAAAUGAUUGUGUGAUCGACGGGUAGGAAGGCGCGACGGUUUUUGCAGUCUGGCUGUCACCAGUGGCGCACUGUGUCCCACCCACCCUUCUGUGCAUUUGCGUGAUGCACAGCACAGUGUGUUGCUGGUGGAUGAGUCUCCAGAUUGAUAUGUCCCGGUGUGCGUGUGUGCAUCUCGGUGUGUGCGCGUGUGCUGGGACACUGGCUGUGCACAUUCACGUGUGUGCGGUCAUUGUACACUGCUGAGAAGGAUUUGAGACGUGAGUCUAUCCGGAGCAGCCGUCGGUGCAGAUCUUGGUGGUAGUAGCAACUAUUCGAAUGAGAAAGACACUUUGAAGGCCGAGGUGGAGACGGGUUCCACGUGAACAGCAUUUGGACGUGGGUUAGUCGGUCCUAAGUAGUCGCCUAACAGCAUGGUUCAGGCAAAGGGGAGCGGACCGUACACGCGAGUUCACUCCCAAGGCCGCGAAAGGGAAUCAGGUUAAUAUUCCUGAACCAAGUGGCGUGUGAGUGGUGCCGGUGGUGUGCUACGUGUGUGCCAUCGGUGCUGCUCAAUUGGACGGAAAUGCUAGCAGGAGGCGUGGCGUGUGUGCGCUAGGUGCGUGUGUGCGUCCCGUGUGUGCGUGUGUCCGGGAGUCAUGGUGUCACUAUGUGGCCGUGCCUGUGCGCUAUGUGUGUGCUGGUGUGGUCCUGUGGUGCCACCCGGAGUGACGCUCUUCUGCAGGGCUUGGCGGUAACGCAAGCAAACUCGGAGACACCCUUCGUGGCCCUGGAAAGAGUUAUCUUUUCUUGUUAACAGGCCAAGCGAUACGCCCCGGAAAAGAGUCAGUCUGAGAGGGGGCUCUGGGCCUGGAAGAGCAUCGCAGUUUCAGCGGUGUCCGGUGUGCCACGGUGUUAAGGGUCCGUGAAAAUCCGAGGGCGCAGUUCACGUGUCUGUGGCAGUAACAUGCUGCAGGUGCGUGUGUCAAAUUUCGCACUUGUCCGUACCGAAUCCGCAUCAGGUCUCCAAGGUGAACAGCCUCUGGCGUUGAAACAAUGUAGGUAAGGGGAAGUCGGCAAAAUCGAUCCGUAACUUCGGGACAAGGAUUGGCUCUAAGGGUUGAGUCAUCCGGGCCGCGGCGCUUGUGCUGCUGCCAGUCUCGUGCUGGUGGCACACAGUCUUUCACGCUGCUGUUGCAUGCCGAGCGGAUACAGGCUCGUGAGCUGGUGUGGCCCUCAACAAGCUGUGCCAGUUCGGUUCUCUCACCAUCAUCUAUGGUGGUGGGGGGACAAGCGGGUGUCAAACUGUGGUCCGUCUCGUAUGUUAGCAGUGUACGCGGUUGGAGUCGGUUGUGCUGUGGCGUGUAACAGCGUCCAGUGUGGCCGGCUGCCCCGAUGGAUGCGUGUGCGUGUGAGCGUACACGACACCGUCGAUUCGUCCUAACCGGACGUUUGGGUGCCAGCAGUGUGUGACUGCCAUGCUGCCACCUGUCUGCUGCCUCACAUCCGUGUGUGGUGCUGACGGCGUGCUGCUGGUGGUCACGCUACUCCUCACGGGGUGGCGUAUCACUGUUGGUGUUCGGCGGAUGACGAAUGAACAACCAACUUAGAACUGUCACUGACUCGGGGAAUCCGACUGUUUAAUUAAAACAAAGCAUUGCGAUGGCUGGAAACGGUGUUGAUGCAAUGUGAUUUCUGCCCAGUGCUCUGAAUGUCAAAGUGCGGAAACGCAACCAAGCUCGGGUAAACGGCAGGAGUAACUAUGACUCUGUGAAGGUAGCCAAAUGCCUCGUCAUCUAAUUAGUGACGCGCACGAAUGGAUCAAUGAGAUUCCCACUGUCCCUACCUACCAUUCAGCGAAACCACAGUCAAGGGAACGGGCUUGACUGAGACAGCGGGGAAAGAAGACCCUGUUGAG